rnacentral:rRNA from 1 species
ACGAACGCUGGCGGCGUGCUUCACACAUGCAAGUCGCACGGAAAGGCCCUGCUUGCAGGGUACUCGAGUGGCGAACGGGUGAGUAACACGUGGGUGAUCUGCCCUGCACUUCGGGAUAAGCCUGGGAAACUGGGUCUAAUACCGGAUAGGAGCCAUUUUUAGUGUGAUGGUUGGAAAGUUUUUUCGGUGUAGGAUGAGCUCGCGGCCUAUCAGCUUGUUGGUGGGGUAAUGGCCUACCAAGGCGGCGACGGGUAGCCGGCCUGAGAGGGUGGACGGCCACAUUGGGACUGAGAUACGGCCCAGACUCCUACGGGAGGCAGCAGUGGGGAAUAUUGCACAAUGGGCGCAAGCCUGAUGCAGCGACGCCGCGUGGGGGAUGACGGCCUUCGGGUUGUAAACUCCUUUCGCUAGGGACGAAGCUUUUUGUGACGGUACCUAGAGAAGAAGCACCGGCUAACUACGUG